UGAGUACUCCCUCCGUUCGGAAUUACUUGUCACAAAAAUGGAUGUAUCUACAAUUAAAAUAUAUCUAGAUACAUUCAUUUCUUGGACGAGUAAUUCCGAAUGGAGGGAGUACAUG
rfam:Triticum aestivum genome assembly, contig: Triticum_aestivum_CS42_TGACv1_scaffold_361330_4DS